CUCAUUUAAAGACUAGAGAUAAUGAACAGAAUGGAAAAUAACCUACCCCUCUGCCUGCUGUAGAGUAUGUCGCAUCGUUUUAAUUUGUUGGAAAUGACCCGACAUAUCUGUUGACAAGACCAUCUCAAUGACCAAGCUACGCAACUCCCUCCAGUCAUCUUUGGUUAAAUUUGCCAGGAUGUUCAUCUCUUCUUCUUGCAUUAGUCUAUAAGCAGCACUUACAUGAUGGUUUUCAAGAACAGAUCGAUCAUUGUACAGUAUUGCAACAUCUGACCUUGUCUGAAUAUGAAAAUUGUUU
rnacentral:lncRNA from 1 species